AGUGAACGCUGGCGGUAGGCCUAACACAUGCAAGUCGAACGGCAGCACAGAGGAGCUUGCUCCUUGGGUGGCGAGUGGCGGACGGGUGAGGAAUACAUCGGAAUCUACUCUGUCGUGGGGGAUAACGUAGGGAAACUUACGCUAAUACCGCAUACGACCUACGGGUGAAAGCAGGGGAUCUUCGGACCUUGCGCGAUUGAAUGAGCCGAUGUCGGAUUAGCUAGUUGGCGGGGUAAAGGCCCACCAAGGCGACGAUCCGUAGCUGGUCUGAGGGGAUGAUCAGCCACACUGGGACUGAGACACGGUCCAGACUCCUACGGGAGGCAGCAGUGGGUAUAUUGGACAAUGGGCGCAAGCCUGAUCCAGCCAUACCGCGUGGGUGAAGAAGGCCUUCGGGUUGUAAAGCCCUUUUGUUGGGAAAGAAAUCCAUCUGGUUAAUACCCGGGUGGGAUGACGGUACCCAAAGAAUAAGCACCGGCUAACUUCGUGCCAGCCGCCGCAGUAA
rnacentral:rRNA from 1 species